GAACAACAAUCACUCAUUCUCUGUUUCUAUUAAGAUGUAGUAGUUUUGUUAUUUAGAGUGUCCCUUAAAAAUCUUUUGACACUUAAACAGAUACUAUAGGCACCAAAAUAACUUAAACUUAAUGAAGCAGUUUUGGUGUAUUGAUCAUGCCUCUGCAAUCUCCCUGCUCAACUUACUGUCAUUAAAUUGUUUAUACAGCACUAGUCAAUCCUCCCUGCUGGUGACUUGCACAGCCUUCUUUACACUUCGUGUAAAGGAAGCUAGACUUGAUAGGUUCGCUUCUUGCACAGUCUGUUUAAACUAGAUUUUCUGAUCUCCUCUGUUUAUGGCCUACAGGAGCCUCUUGUGUGUGAUUAAACCUAAAUUACAGAGCUGGAAAUAAAAACUUGUAAAAUU